CUUCGCCUGCCCUGUUCGCGAAUGCUUUCUUUUAUAACCCUACAAGCUACGAAACGGGAGUCAGUUCUCUUGCUGUGGGUAUGCAGGCCUCCCGAUAACUUCGGACGUUGGAAGCACAAAGCAGCAAGGAUGACACCCACCUGCCUUUUGCAGGUUAUUAAACGCUAGCUUACGGCAGGGCGGGUUUUGA
rnacentral:other from 1 species